AGAAAGUAACAUCUGCAUCAAUGUGAAAUAGAACAGGGAGGUGGUGGUAGCGUCUCUACUUCCUCCGGAAGCUGCGGAGAGCUGGACUUGGGAGAUUCAAUUGCUAUGUGGUGGAGAGCGUUCUCUGCACCUGCAUCACCAUGUGGCAUGAUAGAUGCACUGCUGCUGAGAGGACUGCUCUGAGGGGAGCUGCCUUCCCACCACCUGAGACCCCUAUACAUCUCAAUGCAAGAGCAGGGCUCUCGUCAUCAUGAAGGACUCCACCCAUCACAGACUGCAUACAGACUGUUCUGGCCCCUUUCCCUCAGCUCUUUAACUGGAUCCCGGACACGAACUCCCUGGUACGGCCGGGACCUUCCCUGGGCGGAUGGCUGUGCUGGAAAGACCAGAAUCACACCACAUACAUCAAGGAACCCGGAGAACCAGAGAGAACCCACCAUGCACAGGGAGAACAUGCAAACUCCAUGCAGAAAGACCCCGGGCCGGGAAUCGAACCCAUGCAACAAUGCUUCUGUUUACGGACA